UGGUUUGGGAUCUCUGGCAGCUCGGCCUCCGUCCCGCAGUUGAACUAUGUAUUUAUUUAAAAGGCUCCUGAUUACUUUCUGGCUGCUGAUUUACGUUUGCCACUUCCAGAGAAACUACAGUAAUUUAGGAAGAGAAAAUGAAAAGGCUGAUUCAGAAGGUCGGGCUACUUACUGCGUCAUUGACCAGCCAACAGAGGCCAUGAAUAAAGCAGUGAUGAGGAAUCACUCCGGCGCUCCCGCCCAGGAAGACGUUAGCCAAUCAAGUCUGCGUGUAGGCGGCCAACCGGCUGGUCACAGAGCUGAUAAAUAUACCAGAUUUGAAGAUUUUAGUACAAAGGUUUAAAUCAUUCAGUCAAAAAACAAAACUGCUUUGGAAAUCAUUAAAUGUCAGUUUAUAAAUAUAUGUUCUUUACAUGUGUAUGUAAACUAUUUGACUAAUUUUUAUUAUUCUAAAAUGAUUAUCAU